AACCAGUCCUCUUAAUCACGGAGCCAUCUCUCCAGCCUCCUACCCAUGUCACCACCAAUCUGCCAACGUGAAGAAGUGAAGGAGCCUGCAGACGCCUGGAGUGGAAGGACAGAUCUUCUUGGAAGUCCUUGAAUGGCGUGGCAAAGCUGCUGGCUACCGGGGAAAGCUUCUGGGCUUUUUGUUGAUGGAACCCAAGAUUGUUUUACAUCUUAAAAUUCAGCUGAAUUCACAGUGAUGGCAGGAGGCAGGUUUCACCAGGCUACAGGCCAUUCAGUUUCCAAGCCUUGGCUCUCCUGUGUGUAAUGGCCGCGACGGAGGACCUGAUGUCUGGCCAACUGGCAGCAGGAAUCUGUGUGUGCAGCCAGGAUGGCAGCAGUGUGGAUACAGCAGCCGCUCUCAGGCCUGCUGACCAGCUCAGUGUCCCCAGUGUCCCCAGAGGGAGUGAGCAAAGGUCCCUGGGAGAGGCAAACUACUUCCUCGCCCACUUUCUUUGCUUCCUCAUCCCACCCACUUCCUACUUCCUUCUUAUCUUUUCUCCUUUAGACUGGGAGGGACAGCUCCAGCCCGGUUUUCCCCGCUGCGUUUAGAGUGUGUCCAGGGGCCUCUGCCUCCUCCUUCUCUUGGGGUUGGUUCCCUCUCUUGUGCUUCCUUUCAUCUCCGCAGAGGCCCGAGAGUGGACUGGGCCACCCGCUGAUCUCGCUCAGCAGACCUGAAAAGAAGUAUUUUCAUGCUAUGGAGCCUGUUUUGUCUAUGAGCAGAAGGGAGGGGCGUGGACUCCCUGAAGCACAGAGCCCUGCAGAUGGGAAGAAACUGAUCUUUUGAGACUGAUGUCCUGGCCUUGCUGUUCACAGUGGGGACAGAGGUGCAAUGGGACAGGGAACAAAAGCUCGGCCAGAGCUGUCUCAGGGGCUUUCUAGAUGUUCCCCCAACUUCUUGCCAUUCCGGGAGAAGUGCAGAUGAGGAAAUGCCAGCAGCCCUGGUUUAGGUUCUGAAACUGUUGCUACUGCCUGUGCUAGGUUGAAUGAAAUGCCUCAACUGUGAUUUCUGACUCCCAUGUUGGAUUCUCUGCUAUGCUCUUUACUUAUCAUGUGUACCCAGGGGUACUGGUUGGUUCUGUGUGUCAACUUGACACAAGC